rnacentral:lncRNA from 1 species
AUCAAGUAAAUUCAUCAAGCACAUCAGGUGGUCCAACAUUUUCAGAGCAAGUAGUAAAGCCAAGAGUACACACCAAAAUAAAAAUAAAAAUUCAACCUAUUCUAUGAAUUUAAAAAGAAACAAAAUAAAACAAAUAAAAGAAAGAAAUAAAAGUAAAAGAAAGAAAGACUAAGUCCUGUCUAUAGACAUCCCUCAGUAAAUGUCUGCUAUCAGCCCAUGCUGUCAUCGGAGUCGUCCUGACUCUCAUCAUCUGCGUCCUCA